rnacentral:rRNA from 1 species
UACGUAGGGGGCAAGCGUUGUCCGGAUUUAUUGGGCGUAAAGAGCGUGUAGGCGGCUUGACAAGUCUGCUGUGAAACUCGAGGCUCAACCUCGAGCUGUCGGUGGAAACUGUCUGGCUAGAGUCCGGAAGAGGAGAGUGGAAUUCCUGGUGUAGCGGUGAAAUGCGCAGAUAUCAGGAAGAACACCUAUGGCGAAGGCAGCUCUCUGGGACGGUACUGACGCUGAGACGCGAAAGCGUGGGAGCGAACAGGAUUAGAA